rnacentral:tRNA from 1 species
GGCGCUAUAGCCAAGCGGUAAGGCAUGGGUCUGCAACACCCUGAGCCCCGGUUCAAAUCCGGGUGGCGCCUCCA